rnacentral:rRNA from 1 species
GAUCAUUGGAGUAGCAAUACAACGAUGGUCUAGUGGCGAACGGGUGCGUAACACGUGGAUACACUCCGGGAAGCGGGGGAUAGCCCAGGGAAACUUGGAUUAAUACCGCAUGUGAUCGAGAGAUCAAAGACGGGGACCGCAAGGCCUGUCACUUCCCGAUUGGUCCGCGGCCUAUCAGCUAGUUGGCGGGGUAAAGGCCCACCAAGGCUACGACGGGUAGCUGGUCUUAGAGGACGACCAGCCACACUGGAACUGAGACACGG